rnacentral:rRNA from 1 species
UGGGGAAUAUUGCGCAAUGGGCGAAAGCCUGACGCAGCAACGCCGCGUGAGUGAUGAAGGCCUUCGGGUUGUAAAGCUCUUUCGGUUGGGAAGAAGUGUGUAAGUGCUAAUAGUAUUUACAUAUGAUGGUACCAAAAGAAGAAGCACCGGCUAACUUCGUGCCAGCAGCCGCGGUAAUACGAAGGGUGCGAGCGUUGUUCGGAAUUACUGGGUGUAAAGGGUUUGUAGGCGGGAGAUUAAGUGAAAUGUGAAAACCUCGGGCUCAACCUGAGACGUGCAUUUCAUACUGAUUUUCUUGAGUGUCGGAGAGGGUAGUGGAAUUGCUGGUGUAGGAGUGACAUCCGUAGAGAUCAGCAGGAACAUCAGAGGCGAAGGCGACUGCCUGGCCGACAACUGACGCUGAGAAACGAAAGCGUGGGGAGCAAACAGG